CACUUUCUUCCCUCUCUUCUCUAAAUAGCCACCACCGCCACCACCAUCACUAGAAGAAAUCUCUUGUAUCCAACCCAUACCCAAUCGUCGUAUAACCCACCACUGUCGUCCCUCGUGUCUAGCCCGUACCUUGUCGUCGUCGAACAGUCCGUCGACCUCCGUUGUGCUCGCCACCACCGUCGAACAUAAAUGUUCUUCAACAGAUUCACGUAAGGACCCAUUUUUAUUUUUGGGUGUUUUCCAACAGAUUUUGAUCUGGAUUUCAAUUUCAGGAAGGAAGUUGCAUUACAUUAGAGAGAGGUAUUUACAACAUCAAAUAUGUAACAUUUAUGAUCGUGAACAUAAGGAAGGUUACCUCUCACCAUUGAAAUAAUUAGUGCAUUGAAGUUGCUAAGAUGCCAUAUUUUUUUGCAACUUUUAUCAAUGGAUGGAACUAUAAAGAUCCUGAAAACUCCUUAGUAAGUAACAUCAUCUCUCAACACUCCUUGUAAAAUCGGUGUAUGCAUUCUUCAAAUGAUUUAGAUUGUGUUGAGAAAUGAUGGAUGAUUAAUAAUGUAAACAAGUUCUUUGGAUUCAAAAGCAUGUAUUCAUCAAUGUUUGACAUUCAAGAAAAUUGCGGACUCUGCUAUAUGUGAUAUUUGCUGAAAUAGCAUUCUUCAAGUAGGCAACCUGAUGCUAAAGCUUAAGCUCAUAACGACUUAGUUUAAGGUAAAAGGAUUGGACAUGACACAUAACAUAGCUGAGACUUGAGAUUGUUCAUAUUAUCUUUGCGUUUAAUUUUAACUUUUUAGAAUAUUUUCUUUUGGGAGAGUAUGUCUUCUCUUUCCGUCUAGUUUUAGAAAUGUUGCAUUUCUUUCACAGCAAUGAGUAGUGGUUUAUUAAUUGAUGAUGAUGUUGGAUAUUGAUUCUGCCCGUUUUUCCUCCCUUAAUUAUUGCAGUUUUUCUUCCCAUAUUUUCUUGUCCAAAGAUCACCAUUUGUGCAUCCAAUUGCAGUUCUUCAGCUCAUUUGGUUUGUGUAGAUUUUGGUUUCCAUUAAUAUUUUAAUUCUGCAUUGCUAAAUGCAAUAAUCACUCUAUUCAUAAAAAUAUUUGAAGAACUUAUCAAGAAAGCUAUGUUUUCCUCUCCCUUUCUCAUGUCCAAUUGUUGAUAACCUUGACUUUUUCCUUUUCAUUUUCAUGUUUUGUAGCUAUUUACCCAAGGCAUACUGGAAAUGUUUUUCAUGUAAUAGCUAAUAGGAUGCCAUAUUUAUUAUUUAUUUACAAAGUUCAUUUGUUGUUUGCAAUCUGUUGCCACAUUUUUCAGUCAGGUUAUGGUAGCAAUAGGAGAAAAUACCGCGGACCCUGGUGUGGUGUUUUUUUUAAUAUUUAAAAAAAAAUCUUUGUGAUAAUGUGGUUUGUUUUGAACUUUUUUUUCAAAUUGCUGGAUUCUGUUUUUUACAUUUUUGUUUUGUUUGUGAUAUGUGUACUGAAUUAUGUAGGUUUUGGUUGUGAGGACUUGCAAUGGUAUAUUUGUAUAUAUUUUUUAGUUUAGUAGAGGUAGCUUGACAUUGAGUUUAGGGAAUCUGCUAAUGAACAGAGACGGAGAAUGAUUGAAGUCAUAUCGGGUUGAAAGCUAAGCAACUGUGUAGAUAGCCAGACGAUCGUUGAAAGUUGAAGACUGAGAAGGCAUUUAGGAUUUCUUAUUUAAAUCUUGUAUUAGGAUCUUUUUUCAUGUACUGUUGUAGAAUGUAUAUAUAAAUACAAUAUUAAGAUUUCAUUUUGUGUAUGCAAAUGUAAAAGACAAAUUAAAGUUUCUAAAAUAAUAUUAAUUUUAUU